UGGGGAAUAUUGGACAAUGGGCGCAAGCCUGAUCCAGCCAUGCCGCGUGAGUGAUGAAGGCCCUAGGGUUGUAAAGCUCUUUCACCGGUGAAGAUAAUGACGGUAACCGGAGAAGAAGCCCCGGCUAACUUCGUGCCAGCAGCCGCGGUAAUACGAAGGGGGCUAGCGUUGUUCGGAAUUACUGGGCGUAAAGCGCACGUAGGCGGAUCGAUCAGUUAGGGGUGAAAUCCCGGGGCUCAACCCCGGAACUGCCUCUAAUACUGUCGAUCUGGAGUUCGAGAGAGGUGAGUGGAAUUCCGAGUGUAGAGGUGAAAUUCGUAGAUAUUCGGAGGAACACCAGUGGCGAAGGCGGCUCACUGGCUCGAUACUGACGCUGAGGUGCGAAAGCAUGGGGAGCAAACA
rnacentral:rRNA from 1 species